rnacentral:tRNA from 1 species
GAUGAUGUGGCUCAGUGGUAGAGUGCUUGCCUACCAUGCACAAGGCCCUGGAUUCAAUCCCCAGUAUCACA